rnacentral:misc_RNA from 1 species
GUAGGUGAACCUGCGGAAGGAUCAUUACAAAUCCACGUCUCUUUUGAGACUCGUUGAAAUGUUGAGGGGCGGUGGAAUAGACAGAUAUAUUAUAUAUCAUAUAUCUCACCCCCCCCUCUACCCUUAUCUUUAUAUGUUGAUCAGUGAUACUAAAACUAUUUACACAACUUAUAACAAUGGAUCUCUAGGCUCUU